rnacentral:sRNA from 1 species
AUGUACCGCUCGUACACUCCGGUUCUGAGCGCGCCGCCCGUAUCCACCUGGCGACUGCUCGCUGCGUGUUGUUAGCC